UCCCUGGUGGUCCAGUUGCUAAGACUUUGUGCUCCCAGUGCAGGGGGCCCAGGUUCAAUCCCUGAUCAGGGAA
rfam:Ovis aries breed Texel chromosome 2, whole genome shotgun sequence.